rnacentral:lncRNA from 1 species
AAGUUAUGAUAUUAAAUUAAGGUAAGUUGGGUUUUGUUGGGGCUUUGUUGUUUUUUAUGAAUCAUUUCAGCUCCUUCUGUUUAAAAGGGUAUCUUCUAAGUGCAUUACUCCCUUAAAUUUAACAGCUGUGAAGUAAAUCUUUUUUCACAAACCACCCUAAAAGUCUAAAAAUAAAUGUAGCAAGACCCAAAGUCAACAUGCUGUGAGGCUGGCAUAUGGAAGAGUCAGUUCGAGUGUCUGGAGGGAGGAUGGUGGGUAUUUACAGUAGUUUCCACGUUUCACGUGCAUUGCACUCCAAAGAAUAGGGUGGGGGUCAACGAUUUUCCAACUGUUCUUUAGAUGUGGCUUUUGUUGGGAUCGGAAAACAUCAAGAGAAGUGGGGGUUGUCCUCUAAGCUAUGCACAUACUCGCAGCCUAGAAAGGAUUUGAACAGAGAGUAGGUGCAGAAGCGUCUAAAGAAGGCAUGUAUUUGAUAGGGAAAGGACCAGAGUAGGCUAAUCCUGGGGUGAUAGUUGCAAAAGGCUUUCUAGACUUUGGGGCCUUGGUAUAAGAUGUCCUUAAUUAUUGUGGGGGCCAGUAACACACAAUUCAACAUGACUUUGAUAGUCUCCAUUCCCUGGCUUUAUGAAUUACCUACACUUUCAGGUUGUUUUGCUGUAUUUUAUAAAAAUAGGUUCUAUCUUACUAUGGUGUUGAAAAUUUGAGACUUGGGAAAGCAGACAGAGAGCUCUGGAAUGCAAAGGAUCAAAAACAGCCAGCUCUCUUCUGUGACUCACAAAAAACAAUGGAUUUCAUGGCUGAUCUUGGUGCUUAAACCAGGAAGGUCCAGUCUAACUCUAUCUGUUCCUCUGCAAGACCCAACUCCUGUGACUAACCUGGAUGUAUACUUUGAGCCUUAUUUAAUUCACAGAGAAGUUGACUUAAAUCAGUGUUUUUAUUUCAAUUAAUGAAAACAGUCCUCUUUCAACCCCAGGUUACUUAACAUUUUGCUGAUCUCCCCCAAGAGAUCAUUGGUGGAGACCAAUUAAUGAAGGAGUGAAUUCAGUUUCUUGAGACUGUGGUAUUCUACAGAGCCACACCUAACCACUUUUUCCAGUGAAGAAUCUACACAAUAAUACCCAAAUAUGGAUGGCCAAGAAGAAUCUGUAUCUACAGUGUGCUUUGUGUGUUUUUGACACUGCUGUAUUUUGUGUUGCCAAGUGACUUGUAACUGGUUCCAACGUGACAGUUCUUUAAAAGUUCUAGUAAUUAAGUCAACUUAAAUUUUUGUAAAACCUGGUGUCACUAUAGGUCUCACAAGUACCACUUUUAUUCCAGUCUUUAACUGUUCAUAAUGGGCAUAGCAAGGGUUGGAGUGAGAGCCUACUUCCUACCUCUUAAGGCACUUUCCUCAUUGUUUUGCCAUAUAACCUUGGACUGCAUGAUAAGCUGAUGAAAUAUCCAUGACUUUUCCCAGAGCAACUAGCAAGGUAUAUGACAUUUUGGCUAGAGAUUAGUGGGAAGGAAAAUUUAGAGGUUUAAGUCCGGAUGUAUGAACCUCAAAAAAAAGUCUUCUAAACACAUAUCAUUUAAGUACAAUAUAUGGAAAUGUAUCUGAGCAGAGAGUCACUAUAACAGUUCUCUCUAAGUAGAUUAGUUCAAUGUCCAAUGAAAGUGAACAUCUUUAUUCCUAUAUUACUAUAGUACUGGAUGAACUGUAUACUGAGUUUUUCAAACAAGUAUUUAAAGUAGAACUUUUAAGUACGAGCAAGGGCAUGAGGAUAAAGACUUUGGGUUGUGUUUCUGUAAGUGUAGUUUACCAUAUAGAGCUUUGUUUCUUAAUUUUAAAAAAGGUUUCAAAGUAUUGCCAUUCAUUAGCAUCCUUAAUGAUUAUGAGCGAUGAGUGUGUAACUCGAAAUCAUAUACAUGUAUUAGUUUAUCUUAACUUUUUACCCUAAAUAAAAGGGAAGGUGUACACCUAAAAGAUGUAAUUAUUUUGCAUUUUUGGCCAUGGGUGGGAAUGGGGUGGGCAUCUACUUGAGCAGUUUU